rfam:Rattus norvegicus chromosome 3, whole genome shotgun sequence.
GGGGGUUUAGCUCAGUGGUAGAGCGCUUGCCUAGCAAGCACAAGGCCCUGGGUUCGGUCCCCAGCUCUG